UCCUGAUUGUUUAAGCAGUAAAACAAUCUGCCUGCAAUGCAGAAGAUGGGGGUUCGAUCCCUGGGUCAGGAA
rnacentral:tRNA from 1 species